rnacentral:rRNA from 1 species
CCUACGGGAGGCUGUAGUGGGGAAUAUUGGACAAUGGGGGCAACCCUGAUCCAGCCAUGCCGCGUGUGUGAAGAAGGCCCUCGGGUUGUAAAGCACUUUCAGUGAGGAAGAACGCCUGGUGGUUAAUACCCAUCAGGAAAGACAUCACUCACAGAAGAAGCACCGGCUAACUCCGUGCCAGCAGCCGCGGUAAUACGGAGGGUGCGAGCGUUAAUCGGAAUUACUGGGCGUAAAGCGCGCGUAGGUGGCUUGAUAAGCCGGUUGUGAAAGCCCCGGGCUCAACCUGGGAACGGCAUCCGGAACUGUCAAGCUAGAGUGCAGGAGAGGAAGGUAGAAUUCCCGGUGUAGCGGUGAAAUGCGUAGAGAUCGGGAGGAAUACCAGUGGCGAAGGCGGCCUUCUGGACUGACACUGACACUGAGGUGCGAAAGCGUGGGUAGCAAACAGGAUUAGAUACCCCGGUAGUC